UACGGAGGAUCCAAGCGUUAUCCGGAAUCAUUGGGUUUAAAGGGUCCGUAGGCGGUUUGGUAAGUCAGUGGUGAAAGCCCAUCGCUCAACGGUGGAACGGCCAUUGAUACUGCCAGACUUGAAUUAUUAGGAAGUAACUAGAAUAUGUAGUGUAGCGGUGAAAUGCUUAGAGAUUACAUGGAAUACCAAUUGCGAAGGCAGGUUACUACUAAUGGAUUGACGCUGAUGGACGAAAGCGUUGGGUAGCGAACAGG
rnacentral:rRNA from 1 species